CUAAUCUUUUUCCCUACCACUACUCCUACCUCUCCACCACACUACUCCUUUUCCCCCACCACUACAUUCUUUCUCCCACUCUCACAACUUUUCUCCCACCAUUAUCACACUCCAUAGAAGCCUUUGAAGCCCCAAGAGAAGUAGCAAAGCAAGGGAGAGUGUGGGAAAACUAUAGAGUGAAGGUUGUGCUUCGAGGGUCCGGGCGACAGAAAGUGAAGCCGAAGAAGAAACGACUCCACGCCAGCUUUAAGAACAAUUGAGGUUGAGCAGGCGAUGGAAUGGAUCGGUGUUGAGCGGAUUUCCCUUUUGAUGUUUAUGUAAUGAAACCUUGAGUAUGCAUCUCCAUAUGCAUAACUCACACGUUUUUUCGCUGCAAACACUCUGACUUAUUUAUCAUUUCUACUUGAACUUAUUACUACUUCAUUUUAAUUAACUUUCAGUUGGGGUCUAGUCGUUAUGGCAGACUCAUUUGUGAAUUACCCAAGUGGUUAUAUAUAUAUACCACUAGUUUGUUAUUAA